rnacentral:rRNA from 1 species
GACGAACGCUGGCGGCGUGCCUAAUACAUGCAAGUCGAACGAACUCUGGUAUUGAUUGGUGCUUGCAUCAUGAUUUACAUUUGAGUGAGUGGCGAACUGGUGAGUAACACGUGGGAAACCUGCCCAGAAGCGGGGGAUAACACCUGGAAACAGAUGCUAAUACCGCAUAACAACUUGGACCGCAUGGUCCGAGUUUGAAAGAUGGCUUCGGCUAUCACUUUUGGAUGGUCCCGCGGCGUAUUAGCUAGAUGGUGGGGUAACGGCUCACCAUGGCAAUGAUACGUAGCCGACCUGAGAGGGUAAUCGGCCACAUUGGGACUGAGACACGGCCCAAACUCCUACGGGAGGCAGCAGUAGGGAAUCUUCCACAAUGGACGAAAGUCUGAUGGAGCAACGCCGCGUGAGUGAAGAAGGGUUUCGGCUCGUAAAACUCUGUUGUUAAAGAAGAACAUAUCUGAGAGUAACUGUUCAGGUAUUGACGGUAUUUAACCAGAAAGCCACGGCUAACUACGUGCCAGCAGCCGCGGUAAUACGUAGGUGGCAAGCGUUGUCCGGAUUUAUUGGGCGUAAAGCGAGCGCAGGCGGUUUUUUAAGUCUGAUGUGAAAGCCUUCGGCUCAACCGAAGAAGUGCAUCGGAAACUGGGAAACUUGAGUGCAGAAGAGGACAGUGGAACUCCAUGUGUAGCGGUGAAAUGCGUAGAUAUAUGGAAGAACACCAGUGGCGAAGGCGGCUGUCUGGUCUGUAACUGACGCUGAGGCUCGAAAGUAUGGGUAGCAAACAGGAUUAGAUACCCUGGUAGUCCAUACCGUAAACGAUGAAUGCUAAGUGUUGGAGGGUUUCCGCCCUUCAGUGCUGCAGCUAACGCAUUAAGCAUUCCGCCUGGGGAGUACGGCCGCAAGGCUGAAACUCAAAGGAAUUGACGGGGGCCCGCACAAGCGGUGGAGCAUGUGGUUUAAUUCGAAGCUACGCGAAGAACCUUACCAGGUCUUGACAUACUAUGCAAAUCUAAGAGAUUAGACGUUCCCUUCGGGGACAUGGAUACAGGUGGUGCAUGGUUGUCGUCAGCUCGUGUCGUGAGAUGUUGGGUUAAGUCCCGCAACGAGCGCAACCCUUAUUAUCAGUUGCCAGCAUUAAGUUGGGCACUCUGGUGAGACUGCCGGUGACAAACCGGAGGAAGGUGGGGAUGACGUCAAAUCAUCAUGCCCCUUAUGACCUGGGCUACACACGUGCUACAAUGAAUGGUACAACGAGUUGCGAACUCGCGAGAGUAAGCUAAUCUCUUAAAGCCAUUCUCAGUUCGGAUUGUAGGCUGCAACUCGCCUACAUGAAGUCGGAAUCGCUAGUAAUCGCGGAUCAGCAUGCCGCGGUGAAUACGUUCCCGGGCCUUGUACACACCGCCCGUCACACCAUGAGAGUUUGUAACACCCAAAGUCGGUGGGGUAACCUUUUAGGAACCAGCCGCCUAAGGUGGGACAGAUGAUUAGGGUGAAG